rnacentral:rRNA from 1 species
UACGGAGGAUCCAAGCGUUGUCCGGAUUUAUUGGGUUUAAAGGGUGCGUAGGCGGAUCUUUAAGUCAGUGGUGAAAUCCUGCAGCUUAAUUGUAGAACAGCCAUUGAAACUGAAGAUCUUGAAUUUGGUUAAAGUAGGCGGAAUGUAUCAUGUAGCGGUGAAAUGCUUAGAUAUGAUACAGAACACUGAUAGCGAAGGCAGCUUGCUGAACCAAUAUUGACGCUGAGGCACGAAAGCGUGGGGAGCGAACAGG